AGUGCACCUGUUGGCAAGCCGUUUCUCACUGUACAGUAACUUCCUGCGUCUGAUUUCAACGGAUAACAGCAAGGAAACGUUCACAUGUGUACAGGGUCUGAAAGUUAUCAGCAUGGCAUGGAUAAUAGCGGGUCAUGGAUACACGUAUGGUGGAUUACUGGAUGAGAGUAACACUAUCUUCAAAAACACAGUGGAACUGGUUGAGACGUCAUCGAGAAUAUCUUUUCACCUGGUUGGAUCAGCUCACCUGGCUGUUGAUACGUUUUUUGUUAUCAG